rnacentral:rRNA from 1 species
AGUAAAAGUCGUAACAAGGUUUCCGUAGGUGAACCUGCGGAAGGAUCAUUACCUUUGGCUGCCGUGAGCGCUUCGGCGUGAGCGACGGUCAUUCUAUAGUGACGCUCUGUCCGGGAAACCGGUGCAGGGCCGACCUAACCCUUCUUUACGCGUACCUUUUAUUCUCCUUCGGCGGGGUCAAACCCGCCGCUGGAACUUCAAAACCCAUUUGCAUCCAGCAUUAACUGUUCUGAUAACAUAUAAUUGUUACAACUUUCAACAAUGGAUCUCUUGGCUCUGGCAUCGAUGAAGAACGCAGCGAAAUGCGAUAAGUAGUGUGAAUUGCAGAAUUCGGUGAAUCAUCGAAUCUUUGAACGCACAUUGCGCCCCUUGGUAUUCCAUGGGGCAUGCCUGUUCGAGCGUCAUUUACACCCUCAAGCACUGCUUGGUGUUGGGCGUCUGUCCCGCCUUCGCGCGUGGACUCGCCCCAAAGACAUUGGCAGCGGUCUCUGGCACCUCAACGCGCAGUACAAUGCGUAUUUGGGGCGCCGUUGGUCGCAACCAUUAAGCUAUCACCGUCUUUGACCUCGGAUCAGGUAGGGAUACCCGCUGAACUUAAGCAUAUCAAUAAGCGGAGGA